rnacentral:rRNA from 1 species
UACGUAGGGGGCGAGCGUUGUCCGGAUUUAUUGGGCGUAAAGAGCGUGUAGGCGGCCAGGUAGGUCUGCUGUGAAAACUCGAGGCUCAACCUCGAGACGUCGGCGGAAACCAUCUGGCUAGAGUCCGGAAGAGGAGAGUGGAAUUCCUGGUGUAGCGGUGAAAUGCGCAGAUAUCAGGAAGAACACCCGUGGCGAAGGCGGCCCCCUGGGCCGAACCUGACGCUGAGGCGCGAAGGCUAGGGGAGCGAACGGG